CCUACGGGCUGCAGCAGUGAGGAAUAUUGGUCAAUGGACGAGAGUCUGAACCAGCCAAGUAGCGUGAAGGAUGACUGCCCUAUGGGUUGUAAACUUCUUUUAUAUGGGAAUAAAAUGUUCCACGUGUGGGAUUUUGUAUGUACCAUAUGAAUAAGGAUCGGCUAACUCCGUGCCAGCAGCCGCGGUAAUACGGAGGAUCCGAGAGUUAUCCGGAUUUAUUGGGUUUAAAGGGAGCGUAGGUGGAUUGUUAAGUCAGUUGUGAAAGUUUGCGGCUCAACCGUAAAAUUGCAGUUGAAACUGGCAGUCUGGAGUACAGUAGAGGUGGGCGGAAUUCGUGGUGUAGCGGUGAAAUGCUUAGAUAUCACGAAGAACUCCGAUUGCGAAGGCAGCUCACUGGACUGCAACUGACACUGAGGCUCGAAAGUGUGGGUAUCAAACAGGAUUAGAGACCCGGGUAGUC
rnacentral:rRNA from 1 species